GAUGAACGCUAGCGGCAAGCUUAAUACAUGCAAGUCGAGGGGCAGCAUGACUGUAGCAAUACAGUUGAUGGCGACCGGCAAACGGGUGCGGAACACGUACAGAACCUUCCUUCGAGCGGGGAAUAGCCCAGAGAAAUUUGGAUUAAUACCCCAUAGUAUAUUGGAGUGGCAUCACUUUGAUAUUAAAGAUUUAUCACUUGAAGAUGGCUGUGCGGCUGAUUAGAUAGUUGGCGGGUAACGGCCCACCAAGUCUGCGAUCAGUAACUGGUGUGAGAGCACGACCAGUCACACGGGCACUGAGACACGGGCCCGACUCCUACGGGAGGCAGCAGUAAGGAAUAUUGGUCAAAUGGACGAAAGUCUGAACCAGCUAUGCCGCGUGGAGGAUGAAGGCCCUCUGGGUUGUAAACUUCUUUUAUAUGGGACGAAAAAGGGCCUUUCUAGGUCAACUGACGGUACCAUGUGAAUAAGCACCGGCUAACUCCGUGCCAGCAGCCGCGG
rnacentral:rRNA from 1 species